rnacentral:rRNA from 1 species
AAGGCAGCAGGCGCGUAAAUUACCCAAUNCCUAACAUGGGGAGGUAGUGACAAUAAAUAACAAUACGGGGCCUUCAAGGUCCUGUAAUGGAAUGAGUACAAUCUAAAUCCCUUAACGAGGAUCAAUUGGAGGGCAAGUCUGGUGCCAGCAGCCGCGGUAACUCCAGCUCCAAUAGCGUAUAUUAACGUUGUUGCAGUUAAAAAGCUCGUAGUUGGAUUUCUGACAUGAGUGACCGGUCCGAGCCGCAAGGCUCGAGUACUUUAGGUUGUCUCUAGUCAUCCUUUAUGGAGAGCGCGUUUUGUCAUUCAGUUGUCAGGCCCGGGGACCCAUUUCGGUUUACUGNGAAAAAAAUUAGAAGUGUUUUAAA